AUGUUCUCGACCUGAACCUACCGAUCUACUCCACUUGCUCUGCCCCCCACCUCCGACGCUCCUGCUCUCCAAUCUUGGCCUCGCUGGCCGACGGCGCCGUUUCCUCGUUACCGCGCAGCCAGCCAGUUCUUUUCUCCCCUGCAUCUCUUUAGUCCUCAUCGCCGACCCAGCGCCGCCGCCCCCGAUUGAGGCGAGUUCGGUCGCAGCGAAGAAAGACGGUGACUGCCAUGGACGGGGGUGGUGAACUGGGGAUCACCAAGAAAGAGGCGGAGGCCGAGUACCAUUGCCACGACUUCGAGUGGGAGGACCUCCGGGCGGAUGUGGAAGCCAACCCUUCCUUCUCCUACCACCUGUCCCCUUUCCCCACGACCACCGCCUCACCGCAGCCACCGUCAUCGGAGGCCUGGAGAAGCUUCCACCGCCGCCACGCCUCCGGCAGGUUCUUCAAGGAAAGAAGGUAUUUGCUGAAGGAAUUUCCUGAACUGCUUAACAGCAAAGGAUGUGCAAAGGUUUUAGAGGUUGGGUGUGGGAAUGGAAGCACUGUUGUCCCCAUUCUACGAUGUAGUCCAAGCAUCACUGUCUAUGCUUGUGAUUGUAGUGAAGACACUCUAGAGAAAGCAAAUGAGAUUGUGUGUAAUACACAGGGGGUAGAUGCCAAGGAUAGGUUCCACCCUUUUUUGCUGGAUGUUUCUAGAGAAAAUUUUCCAGGUUGGUUGUUCUGCAAAUGUUGUCAAAGUUCAGAUGGAAAGGUUGUUGAUCUCUCACCAGAUUCAAUUCAUCUUUAUGUAAGGGGGAAAAACUCAAUCUCGCUGAAAGAAGAUCAGUGUUGUGUUGGCGGCAUAGAUUUUAUCACCAUGAUAUUUACGUUGUCAGCCAUACCCUUCAACACAAUUUCAGCUACUCUAGAGCGUUGUGUGUCUGUUCUAAAACCAGGCGGCCUUAUUUUGUUCAGGGAUUAUGGCGUUUAUGACAUGACAAUGCUUCGAUUCUUGCCUCACCAAAGAGUGGGAUUUCGGGAAUAUAUGCGUGCUGAUGGCACCUAUUCGUAUUUCUUCUCGUUGGACACUGUAAGAGAACUCUUUCAUGCUGCUGGGCUACUAGAGUUGGAGCUGGAAUACUGCUGUGUCAGAUCAGUGAAUCGAAAGAAUGGCAAGAACAUGCAAAGGGUAUGGGUGCAUGGAAAAUUUAAAAAACCCACAAGUCAAUGACUUUGUGGUUCCUCGGAUGUGCUUCUAAUGUACGAAUGCUCUGCCGCGAACAUAAACGUUGUGUUUCAACCACGACGCGUAUGUGCUUCGGUCAAUGUGUGCUGCUUCUUGGGUGGUUUCUUUUUCAUCGACAUUUCUAUUAGACAGACAUUAUUUUGUUGCACCAGAUUGCAGUCAUAUUGCCGAGGAGAAUGCUACAAUGCUGCAGAGUGCCUUUUGACCGGGAGCUUGCAGUGCAUGUGAGAUCUCCCAUACUAAUGUUGUAAUUAUGUUCUACUCCCUCCGUUUCUAAAUAUAAGUCUUUUUAAUUAUUUCAAUAUAGACUACAUACGGAUGUAUAUAGACA